rnacentral:rRNA from 1 species
UGUACUAAGGUAGCAUAAUCAAUAGAUUAUUAAUUGUAAUCUCGAAUGAAUGAUUUAAUAAAAUAUUAAUUUUAUUAAAAUUAAUUUAUGAAUUUUAUAAUUUAAUUAAAAAGUUAAAAUAUAAAUUUGGGACGAGAAGACCCUGUAGAAUUUUAUUUAAACUAAAUUAAAAAAAUUUUUUUUUAAAUUUGAUUGGGGAGAUAAAUAAAAUUAAUAAACUUUAGUUGACUAUUCAUUAAUUAAUGUUACAAUGAUCAAUUAUUAAUGAUUAAAAAAUUAAAUUACCUCAGGGAUAACAGCAUAAUAAAAUUAAAAAGUUCUUAUUUUUAAUUUAUUAUAUGACCUCGAUGUUGGAUUAUAAAAAAAUUAAUUUGAAGAAAAAUUAAAUUUUAGUCUGUUCGACUAUUAAAUUUUUACAUGAUCUGAGUUCAAACCGGUGUGNGCCAGGUCGGUUUCUAUCU